CUACGGGGCGCUGCAGUGGGGAAUAUUGCACAAGGGGGGGAGCCCUGAUGCAGCAACGCCGCGUGGAGGAUGACGCAUUUCGGUGUGUAAACUCCUUUUAUAUGUCAAGAAAAUGACGGUAGCAUAUGAAUAAGCACCGGCUAACUCCGUGCCAGCAGCCGCGGUAAUACGGAGGGUGCAAGCGUUACUCGGAAUCACUGGGCGUAAAGGACGCGUAGGCGGGUUGGAAAGUCAGGUGUGAAAUCCUACAGCUUAACUGUAGAACUGCACUUGAAACUUCUAAUCUAGAGUAUGGGAGGGGGAGAUGGAAUUAGUGGUGUAGGGGUAAAAUCCGUAGAUACCACUAGGAAUACCUAAAGCGAAGGCGAUCUCCUGGAACAUUACUGACGCUAAGGCGUGAAAGCGUGGGGAGCAAACAGGAUUAGAUACCCCCGUAGUC
rnacentral:rRNA from 1 species